rnacentral:sRNA from 1 species
GCUUUCUGCGAUUAGAGAAGAUUCGGACCUGCGGCAGGUUCGGGUCGAACGCAGUGAGACAACGGAGCCGCUUGCGGCGACGGCCCGAAGGGCGAGCGAAGCGAGUCAUCCUGCACGACCCACCA